GACGAACGCUGGCGGCGUGCUUAACACAUGCAAGUCGAACGAAGUGGCGAACGGGUGAGUAACGCGUAAUCAACCUGCCCUUCAGAGGGGGACAACAGUUGGAAACGACUGCUAAUACCGCAUACUGAAGGAGGGGAUUGCGUCUGAUUAGCUAGUUGGCGGGGUACCGGCCAACCAAGGCGAUGAUCAGUAGCCGGUCUGGAAGGAUGAACGGCCAAAUUUGGACUGUGAAACGGCCCAGACUUCUUCGGGAGGCAACCGUGGGGAAUCUUCCGCAAUGGACGAAAGGCUGACGGAGCAACGCCGCGUGAGUGAUGACGGACUUCGGGUUGUAAAGCUCUGUUAAUCGGGACGCGGUACCGGAAUAGAAAGCCACGGCUAACUACGUGCCAGCCGCCGCGGUAAUAC
rnacentral:rRNA from 1 species